rnacentral:tRNA from 1 species
AAUUUUAUAGUUAAAAUAAAUAACAUUAAAUUGCAAAUUUAAGAUUAUAAUUUAAAAAUUAUUAAGAU